CCGCCGCUGGUAGUUACGCGGCAGCCCUGGCUGAUGUCGCUAAGUCGAACAACACUCUAGACUCGACCUCCGCCGACGUGGAAAAAAUCGAGAAGCUCUUUGCGGAUCCGCAAUUGUACGACUUUUUCUCCAACCCAACAAUCGACGCCGAGAAGAAGCGCCAACUGCUGGAUGAAAUUGUUAAGUCGUCGGAGCUCCAGCCCCACACUGCAAAUUUCUUGAACAUCUUGGUCGAUGCCAAGCGCAUCGACUUGGUGAAAGAUAUCGUGAAGGAAUUCGAGAUGGUGUACAAUAAAUUGACGGAUACUGAGCUUGCGGUCGUGACAUCUGUUGUGAAGUUGGAGUCACAGCACUUAGCCCAGAUAGCGAAGCAAGUGCAGAAACUCACCGGAGCUAAGAACGUGAGGAUUAAGACGGUGCUUGACCCUAGCUUGGUGGCUGGGUUCACUGUAAGAUUUGGGAUCUCGGGUUCUAAGCUGAUUGAUCUGAGUGUGAAGAAGCAGUUGGAUGAAAUUGCUGCGCAGCUUGAUCUUGUUUGAGUUUGAUGUAAAUUUUGUAAUGGGUUUUGAUAUUGGACUAAUAGCUUUUGCUGAAAUGAAAUAUUUGAUUGAUUCAGAUAUAUGAGAAGG
rnacentral:misc_RNA from 1 species